AUUGAACGCUAGCGGGAUGCUUAACACAUGCAAGUCGAGCGAGUGGCGGACGGGUGAGUAAUGUAUUGGAAAGUGCCUGAUGGAGGGGGAUAACUACUGGAAAGGGUGGCUAAUACCGCAUACCAUUAGCGCGGCCGAUAUCGGAUUAGCUAGUAGGUGGGGUAAAGGCUCACCUAGGCGACGAUCCCUAGCUGGUCUGAGAGGAUGACCAGCCACACUGGAACUGAGACACGGUCCAGACUCCUACGGGAGGCAGCAGUGGGGAAUAUUGGACAAUGGGCGAAACCCUGAUGCAGCCAUGCCGCGUGUGUGAAGAAGGCCUUCGGGUUGUAAAGCACUUUCGGCAGGGAGGCGUUACUCGCAGAAGAAGCACCGGCUAACUCCGUGCCAGCAGCCGCGGUAAUUC
rnacentral:rRNA from 1 species